UACCUCUUCCUUUAGGUACAUCUUUAUUUCUUUUAGAUAACUGCAUUCUCAGAAAAGAAAGAUCAUAUUAGCUUUCACACUCAUUUAAAAUGUAGGUAUAAAUAUACGGAAUGAUACAACUUUUGAUUGUUAUGGUCUCACAACUGCACGUGUCUCAAUUUCAACAAAAAUUAUUCAACGAAAUUGCGACAUGAUGUGUAUCGGUGUGAUUUUAACCGUUGCUUUUGUCGCCUUACUGGUAUACUUAGCACUCGGUAGGAAAAACUACAAUAUCACGGUUUCAAAGUCACUGGAGGGUAAAACAAUUAUCGUCACUGGAGCAGAGCAAGGAAGAGGGUUUCAAAUCGCACUUGAGCUGGUGAAGAAAAAAGCGCGAGUCAUUAUGGCGUGUGCAGAUGACAACAAAGGAAGGAAAGCUCGACAAAACAUUGUUCAAAGAACAGGAAACACAGAUGUUGUGGUCCAACAUCUUGAUGUCACUAUGAUAUCAUCGGUUCGGUAUUUUGUGGCGUGGUUCAAAGAACACGAAAAGAAGCUAGACAUUCUCAUAAAUAAUAAAGAAAUGAUUACCAUUCAGAAAACGAUGACAGAGGGUAUUGAAUUGAUUUUUUCCGCCAACUAUCUUGGACCGUUUUUGCUGACAACUUCGAUGCAAGG